ACUCUGUACCCCGCCCCCCAUCCCCGUUUCUCCUCCCUACUCACGAAGUCCCUGGACACCUCGCUUCUUUAACCUGCUUUCUUACCCCCUUCCCCCCAUCUAUAUUUUCCUUAGCCCACUCCCCUUCUCAAGAUGCAUCGGCUCCCGAGCAAGGGUCGGACACAAAGAUUUGGGAAAUACUGUAACUGAACUAUGGAAACUGAUGAGAUCACUAAUGAGAGUAUGUAGGGGAGAGGAGGCCCAGGACAGAGCUUAGAGGGACAUUUAUGGAUUGGGGCCAGAAGAUAGAUGAUGAUCUGACAAAGGAGACUGAAAACACGGCCACAAGGAGCCACUGAAGAGGAAUGACAGAGCCAGAUCUGAGAUGUCUGAUGGUGGUGUAAAGAACCAUGAGCAAGUGUUCGAGCUUAGAGAUGACUUUAUGAAUUCAAGAGGUCCCAAGUCCAAUGAAUGGAACUGACUGGUGGCCCGGGAAGCUUUAGAUGAGAGAAGUCAAUCAUCUACAGGAGAAGGAACCCAAACCUCUGGCCUGGCUUAUCAGAAGAUUUUACAGGAGACUAUGCAGAGGCAAGGUGAAAUGGAAAAUGCAAAAUUAACAGUCCUGCAAUUUGCUUCGUGUUCACAGCUGGCCUGAUAGAAGAUAAGAUGGCAUCUUUCAAUAAAAUUCUGACCUCCCCACCGCCACCACCAACAACUAUGCCAAGUCUCAAAGCCUGAACAAUUCAGUGGACUGCGAAGAGUGGUGGGAAGAAUUCAGGGAGGUGUCCUUAAUUAAGAGAA